CAGCACCUCAAGUGGUCAGGAUGAUUAUUGGGCCUAAAGCAUCCGUAGCCGGCUCUGUAAGUUUUCGGUUAAAUCUAUGCGCUCAACGUAUGGGCUGCCGAAAAUACUGCAGAGAUAGGGAGUGGGAGAGGUAGACGGUACUCGGUAGGAAGGGGUAAAAUCCUUUGAUCUAUCGAUGACCACCUGUGGUGAAGGCGGUCUACCAGAACACGUUCGACGGUGAGGGAUGAAAGCUGGGGGAGCAAACCGGAUUAGAUACCCGGGUAGUCCCAGCCGUAAACGAUGCAGACUCGAUGAUGCAUUGGCAUAUAGCCAGUGCAGUGUCGCAGGGAAGCCGUUAAGUCUGCCGCCUGGGAAGUACGUACGCAAGUAUGAAACUUAAAGGAAUUGGCGGGGGAGCACCACAAGGGGUGAAGCCUGCGGUUCAAUUGGAGUCAACGCCAGAAAUCUUACCCGGAGAGACAGCAGAAUGAAGGUCAAGCUGAAGACUUUACCAGACAAGCUGAGAGGUGGUGCAUGGCCGUCGCCAGCUCGUGCCGUGAGAUGUCCUGUUAAGUCAGGUAACGAGCGAGAUCCCUGCCACUAGUUGCUAUCAUUAUUCUCAGGAAUAGUGGGGCGAAUUAGUGGGACUGCCGUUGUUAAAACGGAGGAAGGAAGGGGCUACGGCAGGUCAGUAUGCCCCGAAACUCUGGGGCCACACGCGGGCUGCAAUGGUAGCGACAAUGAGUUCCAAACUCGAAAGAGAGUGGCAAUCCCUAAACGCUACCACAGUUAUGACUGAGGGCUGCAACUCGCCCUCACGAAUAUGGAAUCCCUAGUAACCGCGUGUCAUUACCGCGCGGUGAAUACGUCCCUGCUCCUU
rnacentral:rRNA from 1 species